UACGUAGGCAGCGAGCGUUGUUCGGAGUUACUGGGCGUAAAGGGUGUGUAGGCGGUUCUUUAAGUUUGGUGUGAAAUCUCCCGGCUCAACCGGGAGGGUGCGCCGAAAACUGGGGGACUAGAGUGCGGGAUGGGAGAGUAGAAUUCCUGGUGUAGCGGUGAAAUGCGUAGAUAUCAGGAGGAAUACCGGUGGUCGUAAGGCAGG
rnacentral:rRNA from 1 species